UACAACUCUUUGUCCAAGAUGACAAGAACCUGGACACCCUCCACCGGUGACAUAUUUUGGUGAGCCAGCCAGGAGGAAAAGUCUUUCAGACGCUGAUUCCUGGUAGCUCAUCGGAAAUUGAGGACAAUUGGCUGGGGUCACUCCCAGGUACUGCAUGAAGGUCUAGGAAUGAAUGCGAAUAAUUGCCCGGCCCAAAAAGGGGAAGGACUUUUUAAAAAAUCUUUUCUGCAUGAUCCCUGAUCCCUACCUGCAGGGCAGCUCAGAGCAAACUCAAACAUGUUUCAGGACAAAGAGAAGUGGAAAACAGGUCUGUUACGUGCACUUAUGGGGUGUACUCUUAUUUGUGAAGAACUUUGCAGCCAGCCUUAUACAUGGAUAAGCUUACACUUUGAUAGAUAAAAGACGAAGGCCCAAUGUAGAGACCAUCGACAUUCAGAUGACCAUGCAACAAAGGUUCCAGCCAGUUCCAGAUGAAGACACCACCCCUGGCCAUCAAGAAGCUAAC